UAGAAUCAGGAAAACACUUUUUUCCCCCACCUUUUACCCACCCUCUUCAGGCACAGAAAAAGAGAGGAUAGAGUCUUGCCAAGCCUCCUCACUGUGCCUUGAAGGACUCAUGUACAGUGUGGGCAUGGUGAGAAGCUGAUCCUGUGGGAUGAGCUGCAGGCUCACCUCGCUGUAAUCAGACAUCUCAUCCUCUGCACCUUGGGCAGAACUUCUAGGAUUUUUGUUCAAAUAGAAAAGCUUGAGAGACAUGUUUGCUUGAAAAGCAGCUUGCCUGAAGCUGAAUUCAUCGCUAUUCCGCUUAUCUCCAAGUCAGCAAGGGACAGUUUUACAAAUCUCUAACAUAAGGCAUGAAAUGGAAUUCAACAGCAGUACUGAUUUUCUUCUUUGUAUUUGGUUCUGGUCAAAUGAAUGG